GAUUAAGAACGCAGCGAAAUGCGAUAAGUAAUGUGAAUUGCAGAAUUCAGUGAAUCAUCGAAUCUUUGAACGCACAUUGCGCCCGCCAGUAUUCUGGCGAGCAUGCCUGUUCGAGCGUCAUUUCAACCAUCAAGCCCCAGGCUUGUGUUGGAGCCCUGCGGCUGCCGCAGCCUCCCAAAACCAGUGGCGGGCUCGCUAUCACACCGAGUGCAGUAGUUUACUCUUCGCUCAGGGCGUGUGGCGGGUGCUAGCCGUGAAACCCCCAACUUCUCAAGGUUGACCUCGGAUCAGGUAGGAAUACCCGCUGAACUUAAGCAUAUCAAUAAGCGGAGGA
rnacentral:misc_RNA from 1 species